UCCAGUGUGCAGAGAUUUCCCUUCUGGCCAUCUUGGCUGCCAUUCAGGCUGUGGGGAAGGUGGAACGCCGGGCCCAUCCGACUUCAGAGCCUGGAGAGGUGAACAGAGACAGCCGAGAAGAAGCUGGCUGACUGUGAGAAGAUGGCUGUGGAGAUAAAGAGUCCGCUGGAGGGCAAGUUGGGACCCUGCUGCAGGAGCACGGGAUGCUGCAGAGGUGGCUGGAGAACAUGGAGGGUCUGCGAGGAACAGGCAGCAAGGGGAGCCCCGCAAGGUUCGGUGGGACGAUUGAUUUGGUCACAGUCUUCUGCCCACAGCCGGAGGUGGUAGAGGUUCAGGGCCCCUCUUGUUGACUGGAGAAGACCCAGGCCGCCCGGAAGGAGACUUCUCAGCGCGCCAAGCUCCGGCCUGAGCCCGGGCCGCCCCGUUGCUUCUGCUCCAUCUGCCCUUUUCCGGCUUUUGGUCUCGUCGUCCUCCUCCUCGUCUUCGCCGCCUCUCUCUCCUCUUCCCACCGCUCUGAUGCCCCUCGGGGCUCUGCUCCCCUAACCGCGCAGACCUUGGCUUGUCUGCCAGCUGCAUCAAGCAGUGUCCUUUUCGAACUCCUUCCUUGAGAGGUAAACGGAAGACCAGGCCUAGUAAAUAAAAGGUGAACCGUUUAUUUCCAAAAAUGAAAUAGGUGACGGUAGCUAAGAAAACUGCGAAAGUAAUAACAGAAGCGACACUGGAGGACUUUUCCACUGUAAAUAUUAGAACAUCUGCUAAAACAGCGCAAGGCAGCCAGACCUGGGAGAACACCAUAGUAUAUGUACCCACGUAAUAAAAGAUCAUCGCGAGUGCCUCCUGAGCGCUGAGGACGUCCACAGCCCUCUGGGAGCGGGCUGUGAUUGCUACCCCAGGGGCACAGCGGAGGAACCCGAGGGGGCAGGAUGCGAAAUAAGCUGUCGGGGCUUACUUAACCACACACUUAACCACGGCGUUUUACUGCCCCGACGUAGAGCAGUCACGAAUUCAGACGGGAAAGGAAAGGUUAUUUACAUAAAUCAAGCUAGGAGAGUUUAAUUGGCCAUUUGGGAAAAAUAAUUAAAGUAGCAACUAAACUUCUUUUUGUAUAUCAAAAUACAGUCCAAGUGGAUUAAAGCACUGUGUAUAACAAAACCGAACAUAAAGUAUGAGAGAAUAUAAAUGAAUAUCUAACUAAUUUCUGAACAGCAGGGAAGGCAUGGAAGAAAUCCGAACAGAAAAUGUCAGUAGUUAUUUAAACAUUAAGAGUUUAGGAAUAUGAACAAAAUUGAAAGGUUAAUAGCAAGUUGGGAUUAUAGCAAAUUUCCAUCAUUUACAACAGACAAAAUGCUGCAGAUAAAUAUCCUUAAUAUGUAAAGGGUCCACUUAGGCCAUCAAGGAUGUGCUCAAUCUCAGUAAAUCAGGGUAAAUUUUAGGAAGACCAAAGAAAUGCAAAUUAAAACAUAACAUUUUUCACCUAUCAAAUUAGGAAAACAAAACAGUAAUUAUCAUAUUAGUACUGUAAAUUGGUACAAUCUUUCUUGAGGGGAAGGGCAGUGUAAAACCAGAG
ensembl:lncRNA